rnacentral:rRNA from 1 species
UACGGAGGGUGCAAGCGUUGUUCGGAAUUAUUGGGCGUAAAGGGCAGGUAGGUGGUCCCAAAAGUCUACUGUGAAAUCCCCGGGCUUAACUCGGGAAGUGCGGUAGAUACUCUGGGACUAGAGUGCUGGAGGGGUUCGUGGAAUUCCCGGUGUAGCGGUGAAAUGCGUAGAUAUCGGGAAGAACAUCAGUGGCGAAGGCGGUCUGCUGGGCCGUUGCUGACGCUGAGGCGCGACAGCGUGGGGAGCAAACAGG